CCUACGGGAGGCAGCAGUGAGGAAUUUUCCGCAAUGGGCGAAAGCCUGACGGAGCAAUGCCGCGUGGAGGAGGAAGGCCUGUGGGUCGUAAACUCCUUUUCUCAGAGAAGAAGUUCUGACGGUAUCUGAGGAAUAAGCAUCGGCUAACUCUGUGCCAGCAGUCGCGGUAAUACAGGGGAUGCAAGCGUUAUCCGGAAUUAUUGGGCGUAAAGCGUCCUGAGGUGGCUUACCCAGUCGACUGUGAAAGCUCAAGGCUUAACCUUGAAACGGCAGUCGAAACUUGUAAGCUUGAGUACGGUAGGGGCAGAGGGAAUUCCCGGAGGAGAGGUGAAAUUCGUAGAUAUCGGGAGGAAGGCCAAAGGCGAAAGCACUCUGCUGGGCCGAUUACUGACACUGACAGACGAAAGCUAGGGGAGCGAAAGGGAUUAGAUACCCCUGUAGUCCUAGCCGUAAACGAUGGAUACUAAGUGUUGCGCGACUCAAAACGUGCAGUGCUGCAGCUAACGCGGUAAGUAUCCCGCCUGGGGAGUAUGCCCGCAAGGGUGAAACUCAAAGGAAUUGACGG
rnacentral:rRNA from 1 species